UACGUCCAUGAGCUCGCCACUAUGGAUCAGGAAAUAGCAAAAGUAAUGAACAAGAAACCGACUGUCAAGCCCACUUCAAAGACCGGAGAUAUUCAUAAAAUGAAGUUGGGGCAAAUUGAUUCAUCCAAUCUGACGGUUAUGUUCACCAGGGGCGACAAGCAUAAGUUUCUGUUUGCUUUGGUAGACAAGCAUCUGUUUUCUACAGAGUGUCUAGAGCACAUCAUCAAUAUCAUUCACCGAUGCAAACAGAACUCAACAGCAGACAAGAAGAACUUUACAGAUAUGCUUCGUUGGUAUAUUACCUUCAGGCAUCAUAUUCUGGCUUUGAUACCGAAAUUUUUUGAAACGGUAAAGAAGCCCUCUGCUUUGAAAAGAGAAUGAAGGUCUCGCUCCAAAUUGAUGCAAAGGGGGAGAUUGUUGGGCUUUGAAGAUUGCGUCUUUUGGGCUCGUUUGUUUAGGCUAUUUUGUAAUCCGGUUUGGGCCUGUCCAACCGUGAAGCCUUUUAUGCUUUGUAUAUAAGAUUACGCAUGCAUGCAUAUUAGGUUAAGGUUUCAGAGAUCUGAGAACAGUGAUUCAUCUAGACGAUAACAGGUUUCUUUGAAAUCGUUCUUGUAACCUUCCAAUCCUCUACAGUUGAUGUUCUUAAUCGAGCUCUUCUGAGGAUUUUGUUUAAUCAUUCGACACGUUUGAUUCUAUCUUGUCUUGUUCUUAUAGUUGUGUUCAUAUCGUCUUAUUUACUUACUUGUUCAAGAUCUAAUCGAUCUUUAUAGAUUAACAGUUUGUUUGAAAUUGGUUUGGGCCUGUCCAACCGUGAAGCCUUUUAUGCUUUGUAUAUAAGAUUACGCAUGCAUGCAUAUUAGGUUAAGGUUUCAGAGAUCUGAGAACAGUGAUUCAUCUAGACGAUAACAGGUUUCUUUGAAAUCGUUCUUGUAACCUUCCAAUCCUCUACAGUUGAUGUUCUUAAUCGAGCU
rnacentral:lncRNA from 1 species